UACAGAGGAUGCAAGCGUUAUCCGGAAUGAUUGGGCGUAAAGGGUUCGUAGGCGGUGCGGUACGUCGGAAGUGAAAUCUCUGGGCUUAACUCAGAGGCUGCUUUCGAAACUGCCGUGCUAGAGUGCGGGAGAGGCGAGUGGAAUUGCAGGUGUAGCGGUGAAAUGCGUAGAUAUCUGCAGGAACACCCGUGGCGAAGGCGGCUCGCUGGACAGCAACUGACGCUGAGGAACGAAAGCGAGGGGAGCAAACAGG
rnacentral:rRNA from 1 species